rnacentral:rRNA from 1 species
ACGUCAGCGGCAGACGGGUGAGUAACGCGUGGGAACGUACCUUUUGGUUCGGAACAACACAGGGAAACUUGUGCUAAUACCGGAUAAGCCCUUACGGGGAAAGAUUUAUCGCCGAAAGAUCGGCCCGCGUCUGAUUAGCUAGUUGGUGAGGUAACGGCUCACCAAGGCGACGAUCAGUAGCUGGUCUGAGAGGAUGAUCAGCCACAUUGGGACUGAGACACGGCCCAAACUCCUACGGGAGGCAGCAGUGGGGAAUAUUGGACAAUGGGCGCAAGCCUGAUCCAGCCAUGCCGCGUGAGUGAUGAAGGCCCUAGGGUUGUAAAGCUCUUUUGUGCGGGAAGAUAAUGACGGUACCGCAAGAAUAAGCCCCGGCUAACUUCGUGCCA